UACGGAGGGAGCAAGCGUUACUCGGAAUUACUGGGCGUAAAGGGCUCGUAGGUGGCCAACUAAGUCGGACGUGAAAUCCCUCAGCUUAACUGGGGAACUGCGUCCGAUACUGGAUGGCUUGAGUUUGGGAGAGGGAUGCGGAAUUCCAGGUGUAGCGGUGAAAUGCGUAGAUAUCUGGAGGAACACCGGUGGCGAAGGCGGCAUCCUGGACCAACACUGACACUGAGGAGCGAAAGCCAGGGGAGCAAACGGG
rnacentral:rRNA from 1 species